CAAUAUUAGGAAAACCCAAAAGUCUUCCUUUAAUUGUAAACGUUAGGGAACUUAAGAUCAGCAAAAAAAGUCUCAGAACUCAAAAUCCUCAUUUCAACAAUACAGAAGGAGUUCAAGCUAGCAAGACUCAGAUGGCGGACAUGGCAGUUUCCAUAGCACGAGAGAAAUUGCUUCCACUGAUAAGAGAUGAAGCAAAUCUGAUUUGGGACAUGCCCAAAGAAUUUGCAGACCUAAAAGAUGAACUAGAAUACAUUCAAGCUUUCCUCAAGGAUGCAGAUAAAAGGGCUGCUGGCAAAGGAGACAACAUGAAAGAGGGAAUCAGAAACUGGGUGAAACAGUCGAGGGAAAGCAUCAUUUCCCAUAGAAGAUUUUAUUGAUGAAUCCAUGAUCUAUGUGGAACAACAGCCUCGUGAUCCUGGAUGUACAAGUUAACUUUGUGAGAUUGUUCAUUUUGUUGGGUCUUUGACGUCUCGCCAUUGAAUAGCAACAGAGAUUCGGCAGAUUAAGUCAUUUGUACAUGGAAUCAAGCAAAAGGCUAAAGAUUAUCAGUUCCAAAUCCAACCUUCUUCUGAACAUGGGAAGAGAAGUCAUAAAGGUAGUCAAGUUGUUCAAUGGCAUGACCCUCGAACGGCUUCUCGUUACCUUGAAGAAGCUGAAGUUGUUGGCAUUGAAGGGCCAAGAGAUGAAUUGAUUGGUUGGUUAGUAGGGGUACCAGCGUAUCGCACUGUCAUAUCAGUGGUAGGAAUGGGAGGGCUUGGAAAAACCACACUUGUCAACAGAGUUUUUAACAACUAGAAGGUGAUUGGACAUUUUGAUUUCCAUGCAUGGAUCGUGGUGUCUCAGUCCUACACAAUGGAAGGGUAGACGAGAGACUUGGUGAAGAAGUUAUGCAAACAAAAAAGGGAGGAUCCUCCUCAAGAUAUUCUGAAAUGGAUCCAGAUUCAUUGAUUGAUGAAGUGAGAAACAAUAUGCAAGAGAAGAGAACAACCAGAGGAAAAGCUUGAGUAAGCUUAGGGAAUCGCUAGAGACGCUGCUAUCACUGUCGGACUACAUACGUGAACCCGCUUAAAGAUCUUGUGAUAAUCUCAAACUUGUGUUCGUGGGAGCAAAUGGUUAGGUGGAUAACUUUAAAGAAUCUCGUGCUAGAGGGUGCUUGGACACAACACUCUGAUACAAUGUGACAUUGGGACAUGGGUUUCUAUAUCAUUUCCAUAAUGUUCUGAAUAUGUUACUUUAUGUUGUUCCAGUGCUUAACUUGCUUUCCUUGUGUAAAAAAAAUUGGACGACCUUGUUUUCGGUCAAAGAUGUUUUCAUAUCCUUAUUUGAUAAAUUUUUAAUUUGAUGAUUAACGUUGAUGUAAACCUUUUAUUCAUGUAAACUCUUUUAUACUCAGAAAAUAAAAUCUCUUUCAUGUAA